AAAGCUUCCCUGGAAGAUGACAAGAACAUUACCAACAGUGUGUUUCAGGCAAGGUAGGAAGCGUUUACCAAAAAACUGGAUUUGGAGCGCCUGCCUAAACUUGUGAGCGCUGGAGGUGAAGAAUGUUUGAACAAACAGAGCGAAUCUCAGGUCUUGGAUAAAGGUGUUGCUACGGCUGAAAAACAUGCAACAGAUGGUUUGCUUUGUGCCAACCAGAAAGAUAAUUCAGAUCUAAGAGACUUUGCCACUGGUUUCUUGUCCUUGUAUUGUAGUGAAGUGCGGUCUGUUGGUGGCCCACCUCCACAUCAAAAUGCAAACGAACUGAAGCGUCCAAGCAGUUCAUCACUACUUGUUCAAGAUAUGCAAUAUCCUCGCAAGAUGCGUUGUGAUUCUCAAAAUAUACGAUCACUGGAUGAACUUGCACAUCCUCUCGGUAGUAAGCCUGAAUCAGUCAGUGACAAGAAAGAUAAAUCUGUUUCAGACCCUAUGCAGAAGAUUCCAAGCAAUCAAUCUGCUGAAAUCUCAAUGGGCUUAAGGAAGUGUACUAAGGCACCUGAAUCAUCUACUCAUCUCACUGAAUGCCACACUCCUGGAUCAGUCGUCAAGACCUGUGUCGCGUGACUUGUGACACAAGAAAUAUGUAUCUCGUGACUUGUAUGUCGAGAUAAAAAUAGUUGUUGUUGUUAUGUAUCUCGUGGCUUGUUUGUCGAGAUAAAAAUAAUAGACAUAGUUGGUUGUGAUACUUGUAUCUCCUGGCAUAAUAGAAACAACAACAAUCUCACUUCUUUAUAUUCA